rnacentral:rRNA from 1 species
UACGUAGGGUGCAAGCGUUGUCCGGAAUUAUUGGGCGUAAAGAGCUCGUAGGCGGUCUGUCGCGUCUGCUGUGAAAACCUGGGGCUUAACCCCGGGCCUGCAGUGGGUACGGGCAGACUAGAGUGCGGUAGGGGAGACUGGAAUUCCUGGUGUAGCGGUGAAAUGCGUAGAUAUCUGGAGGAACACCGGUGGCGAAGGCGGCAUCCUGGACCGGUAUUGACGCUGAGGCGCGAAAGCCAGGGGAGCAAACGGG